rnacentral:rRNA from 1 species
GACGAACGCUGGCGGCGUGCCUAAUACAUGCAAGUAGAACGCUGAAGGAGGAGCUUGCUUCUCUGGAUGAGUUGCGAACGGGUGAGUAACGCGUAGGUAACCUGCCUCUUAGCGGGGGAUAACUAUUGGAAACGAUAGCUAAUACCGCAUAAAAGUCGAUAUCGCAUGAUAUUGAUUUGAAAGGUGCAAUUGCAUCACUAAGAGAUGGACCUGCGUUGUAUUAGCUAGUUGGUGAGGUAACGGCUCACCAAGGCGACGAUACAUAGCCGACCUGAGAGGGUGAUCGGCCACACUGGGACUGAGACACGGCCCAGACUCCUACGGGAGGCAGCAGUAGGGAAUCUUCGGCAAUGGGGGCAACCCUGACCGAGCAACGCCGCGUGAGUGAAGAAGGUUUUCGGAUCGUAAAGCUCUGUUGUAAGAGAAGAACGAGUGUGAGAGUGGAAAGUUCACACUGUGACGGAACUACCAGAAAGGAC